rnacentral:rRNA from 1 species
UACGUAGGUGGCAAGCGUUGUCCGGAAUUAUUGGGCGUAAAGCGCGCGCAGGUGGUUUCUUAAGUCUGAUGUGAAAGCCCACGGCUCAACCGUGGAGGGUCAUUGGAAACUGGGGAACUUGAGUGCAGAAGAGGAAAGUGGAAUUCCAAGUGUAGCGGUGAAAUGCGUAGAGAUUUGGAGGAACACCAGUGGCGAAGGCGACUUUCUGGUCUGUAACUGACACUGAGGCGCGACAGCGUGGGGAGCAAACAGG